AUUGAACGCUGGCGGCAUGCCUUACACAUGCAAGUCGAACGGCAGCACGGGAGCAAUCCUGGUGGCGAGUGGCGAACGGGUGAGUAAUAUAUCGGAACGUGCCCAGUAGUGGGGGAUAACUGCUCGAAAGAGCAGCUAAUACCGCAUACGACCUGAGAGAGAAGGGGGGGGAUCGCAAGACCUCUCGCUAUUGGAGCGGCCGAUAUCAGAUUAGCUAGUUGGGGGGGUAAAGGCCUACCAAGGCAACGAUCUGUAGUUGGUCUGUGAGGACGACCAGCCACACUGGGACUGAGACACGGCCCAGACUCCUACGGGAGGCAGCAGUGGGGAAUUUUGGACAAUGGGCGCAAGCCUGAUCCAGCAAUGCCGCGUGCAGGAAGAAGGCCUUCGGGUUGUAAACUGCUUUUGUCAGGGAAGAAAUCCUCUAGGUUAAUACCCUUGGGGGGAUGACGGUACCUGAAGAAUAAGCACCGGCUAACUACGUGCCAGCAGCCGCCGUAAGAC
rnacentral:rRNA from 1 species